rnacentral:rRNA from 1 species
CCUACGGGUGGCAGCAGUGGGGAAUAUUGCACAAUGGGGGAAACCUUGUUCCGGCAACCCCGCGUGACCGUUGAAGGCCUCCGGUCGGAAAAGCCCUUUCUUAGGGGAGGAUUAUGACCGUACCUUAGGAGGGAGCCCCGGCUAACUACGUUCCAGGCGCCGCGGUAAUACGGAGGGGGCUAGCGUUAUCCGGAAUUACUGGGCGGAAAGGGUGCGUAGGCGGCCCUUCAAGUCAGAGGUGAAAGGCUACGGCUCAACCGUAGUAAGCCUUUGAAACUGUAGGGCUUGAGUGCAGGAGAGGAGAGUGGAAUUCCCAGUGUAGCGGUGAAAUGCGUAGAUAUUGGGAGGAACACCAGUUGCGAAGGCGGCUCUCUGGACUGUAACUGACGCUGAGGCACGAAAGCGUGGGGAGCGAACAGGAUUAGAUACCCGUGUAGUC